CCCAAAACAGUAACUUUUUAACAGUGAAAGAAACCAGACACAAGAGAGAACAUACCGUAUGAAUCCAUUUAUAUGAAGUUCAAGGACAGGCGAAACUAACCUACAGGAUGGAGGCCGAGCCACGCAGCUUGGGGGAUCUUAGUUCCCCGACCAGGGAUCGAACCCAGGUCCUCGUCAAUGUAAGCACAGAGUCCUAACCACUGGACCACCAGGGAAUUCCCAUAUGAUGAAUUUUAAGUUCUUAUUCACUUAUGUACUUGAGUACCAACUUUUUAAAAAUAAAGUGCCUCAAAACUUAAAAUG